rnacentral:sRNA from 1 species
UUCAAAACAGCUGCUAUCACCAAUAAUUAAACCACAAAAAACCGAAAUUAUUUUUCCCUCUGGGGUGAUUACAACCACACAGGAGCUGUGAUGAGAGCUCAGCAGUCCUGUGAUACAGGAAAAGCAGACCUGACAGUCACAUGGGUUCCAUCUCCAAAGUGACCUUAAGAUCUGAGGUGACCACUGCAACUCCAAGCAAUCCUGGUUCACCAACUGCUAGAAACACCCAGAUUUUAACUUUCCAACUCACUUCUUCCAAGAAGCUCCCCCUGGUAUAUGGCCACCUCCUCUGAGACCACUUCAUCCCACUGUCCAUUGUCAAGAGCAUGUUUUUCACUCAGAGAAUCAAAACUUUUGUUGAAGACAGACCUUAUACCAUCUGGCCUAAUGAUUUGCAACUUGUUUUUCAGAGCCCUUUCUG